rnacentral:rRNA from 1 species
UACGUAGGGUGCGAGCGUUGUCCGGAAUUAUUGGGCGUAAAGAGCUCGUAGGCGGCUUGUUGCGUCGACCGUGAAAACCCGGGGCUCAACUUCGGGCUUGCGGUCGAUACGGGCGGGCUAGAGUUCGGUAGGGGGAGACUGGAAUUCCUGGUGUAGCGGUGAAAUGCGUAGAGAUGUGGAGGAACACCGAUGGCGAAGGCAGCCUUCUGGGCCAAUACUGACGCUCAUGCACGAAAGCGUGGGGAGCAAACAGG